CACAAAUAUGAAAGCAGACCCUCAUUGGGGCGUAACGUCACGCCGUGUCCGCAAUAGCGUCAUUGCUGUUGUGCUGACGCGGCGGGGGGGGUAACGCCCUUUUGGGCCAGCCUGACUCCAUAUUCACCCAUGUCUUUUGCGUACUACUUGUUUCCUUGGCGGGUUCGCCCGCCAAUUGGACCCAAUUAAACCUUUUUUGUAAUUGCAAUCAGCGUCAGCAAAACAAUGUAAUAAAUUA
rnacentral:misc_RNA from 1 species